AAUAGAUACCCCGGUAGUCCACGCUGUAAACGUUGGGCGCUAGGUGUGGGGGACAUUCACGUCUUCCGUGCCGUAGCUAACGCAUUAAGCGCCCCGCCUGGGGAGUACGGCCGCAAGGCUAAAACUCAAAGGAAUUGACGGGGGGCCCGCACAAGCGGCGGAGCAUGUGGAUUAAUUCGAUGCAACGCGAAGAACCUUACCUGGGUUUGACAUGCACCAGACAUCCCUAGAGAUAGGGCUUCCCUUGUGGUUGGUGUGCAGGUGGUGCAUGGCUGUCGUCAGCUCGUGUCGUGAGAUGUUGGGUUAAGUCCCGCAACGAGCGCAACCCUCGUUCCAUGUUGCCAGCGCGUAAUGGCGGGGACUCAUGGGAGACUGCCGGGGUCAACUCGGAGGAAGGUGGGGAUGACGUCAAGUCAUCAUGCCCCUUAUGUCCAGGGCUUCACACAUGCUACAAUGGCCGGUACAGAGGGUUGCGAGACCGUGAGGUGGAGCGAAUCCCUUAAAGCCGGUCUCAGUUCGGAUCGGGGU
rnacentral:rRNA from 1 species